UACGUAGGGUCCAAGCGUUGUCCGGAGUUACUGGGCGUAAAGUGCGCGCAGGCGGCGGUGCUGGCCCGGCGUGAAAGCCCCCGGCUCAACCGGGGAGGGUCGUCGGGGACCGCACCGCUUGAGGGCGGUAGGGGCUGGUGGAAUGCCUGGUGUAGUGGUGAAAUGCGUAGAGAUCAGGCGGAACACCCGUGGCGAAGGCGGCCAGCUGGGCCGUCCCUGACGCUGAGGCGCGAAGGCGUGGGGAGCGAACGGG
rnacentral:rRNA from 1 species